rnacentral:rRNA from 1 species
AGCUAGUUGGUAAGGUAACGGCUUACCAAGGCGACGAUCAGUAGCCGACCUGAGAGGGUGAUCGGCCACAUUGGAACUGAGACACGGUCCAAACUCCUACGGGAGGCAGCAGUGGGGAAUAUUGCACAAUGGGCGAAAGCCUGAUGCAGCAACGCCGCGUGAGUGAUGAAGGCCUUCGGGUCGUAAAACUCUGUCCUCAAGGAAGAUAAUGACGGUACUUGAGGAGGAAGCCCCGGCUAACUACGUGCCAGCAGCCGCGGUAAUACGUAGGGGGCUAGCGUUAUCCGGAUUUACUGGGCGUAAAGGGUGCGUAGGCGGUCUUUCAAGUCAGGAGUGAAAGGCUACGGCUCAACCGUAGUAAGCUCUUGAAACUGGGAGACUUGAGUGCAGGAGAGGAGAGUGGAAUUCCUAGUGUAGCGGUGAAAUGCGUAGAUAUUAGGAGGAACACCAGUUGCGAAGGCGGCUCUCUGGACUGUAACUGACGCUGAGGCACGAAAGCGUGGGGAGCAAACAGGAUUAGAUACCCUGGUAGUCCACGCUGUAAACGAUGAGUAC